AGGUGGAAGAUUUAGUGAGCCGAGAUUGUGCCACUGCACUCCAGCCUGAGUGAUAGAGCAAGACUCUGCCUCAAAACAACAAAAAAAAAAGUGAGAAAAAAAAUAGUUUACCAGGGACCUCUUAGUAAAACACUAAAUUUCCAGUCCAUUUUUUGUGUCUCUAAAAUCUGCUGUAAACAAAUGGUUCUGUGAACUUGUUCUUACCUAGUAUAAAGUUAUGGUAAAAUUACAGUGGAUAGACCCUGUUGAAAAUUUCUGUUGGCCACUCAUUUUGGCAAACCUAUACAGGUUUGUUCAUUCAGUGAGUACUUUUAGAACAUCUACUACAUUUCAGGCGUAGCUAUGGAUACUGCAGAUAGAGACAAUAAGAGGAAGUCCUUGCCCUCAUCGAGCUUACAUUCUCAUGGGGGAAGCAGACAAAAAAGAAGUACUAUGUUUUAUCAUAAAAUUAUUAUAUUAUUUCUAAAAAGCACAAUAAGAAAAAAGAUGAAUUAAGAAAGAGUAAAGGGAGGUGCUAUUUCAGACAUGGCUCAAUUAAGCUUAAAGUGUACAUAUACUGUUGGUACCAUAUAUGGUUAAAAUAAUUCAAUUCCAUCAACAGCUGCAUUGUUAAAUGCCAACAGAUUACAUACAAACUACAGCCUUGCUGGUUUUGCCAAGAGUAGCUUGACUAAACAAGAAUCUGCCAAUAUUAGCAAAGCAUGUUUGAUUCCAUAGAUACCAGAAAAAAGUUUGGUAAUUAAGUCUGCUUAGUAGCCAGACUUGUAAAAAGUGCUGACAGUGUUAGUUUUCAUUUUGUGUGAUAGAUAAAGCCAACCUAGUUGUUGUCCCUGUACGUUUGUUUUUGCACCUAAUGUAUGACAAAGAUUAAUUGAGAUCCACACUUCAUUGUUAUUCAGGAAUGUAGGAAUGAUUGCUACAUCUUAGUCUGUAGCUAGAGAAGAAUCACCGUUUAUGGUACCCAUCAGAGGAGUGUGUCCCACUACAUGCUUAUCUAAGAGUUCUACACAUUCUUAAAUAAUCUUAACUACACAAUCAUAUCAAUAUGAUUUCAUGUAACCAUUUCUCUCGGUUUACGUUUUAAGAUUUUUACAUUUUACUAUAUGUUUUACCUUUUAAGAUACAUUUUACAUUGUAAGAUACAUUUGAGAUUUUAUCUACUGAAUCAGAGUUCAUCAUCAAUCCUUAAUCUGGGAGAAAAAGUUUGAGGGAGUUAAUGGAAAUCAGUCAUUCUAAGAGGUAAGUUAUCCAGUUUUAAGAAUGACAAACACGUAAUUGUUCAAAACUACCUUUUAAAAAGCAUCUAAACUGGACUACCAUUCUUUUAAAAAUAUGUCCCUAUUUCUAUUCUGUAAUAAACUAAACCAAUUUGUUCUCAAUCCCAUUUUCAGGGCCAUGCUUAUUCUAGGAUCCUUUGGUUACAAGGUGGUAUACAGGUUAUGGCAUCAUCACUAAAUACUCCGACACCCAGGCCAGAACCCUUGGAGUCAAGGCCAUAACAAGAAGUCAGCAGUCUGCACACCAGGAAAGAGUCUGCACCAGAGCCCAACAGUGAUGGUGCCCCGCUUUUGGACUUCCAGGCUCCAGAACUGUGAGAAAUAAAUUUCUAUUGUUUAUAAGCCACCGAGUUCAUGGUGCUUUAUUAUAGCAGCCUGAGCUAACUAUGAUAGAUCCUAACCUAUCUUUCUAGCUUUCUUGCCCACAUUUCCUCAUUGAUGUUAACUUUCUGAGCAUGCUAACCAGACUUCCCUGAGGCUUCUCUCAUGCUUUCUAUUCUCCUCUUCAUCCCCUGUUAAUGAAGUGCCCCUGCUUGAAACACCUCUGCCCAAACCAGUCCACUUCGUUUUUUUUCCCCCAAUCCCACUUCUUAAAAACCCUUCCUCAUUCUUUCAGGUCAAAUGAGUUACUCCCCCAUGUCCCUCAUAGCAUUUGCUUAUACCUCACAUUCCCUGCAUUAUGUCAUAGCCUUUGGGGUUGAAGACUUUCUCCCCAAUUACACUACAAGACCUUUAUGAUGAAAGACACAUCUUAUUCACUAGUGUGAAUUCACUACUUAGUAGUAAGUCCACUGAAAUGAAUUUUGCUGAAAUGAAGACAUAAUCACUUGGUCCCAAGUAGAGGCUACCUUUGAAAAUCACCUUGAUGGCCCCUUUCUUCUCUGAACCAGAAGAUCAUCCUUGAUAAAAGGCCAUAUAUUGAAGGAGCAGGUAGUUAUAAGCCACAUGGGACAGGGUGGCUUAGAAACAUAUCAAGAGCUUUUUACUGCAUAAAGCCCAAACUAGGCCAAUUAACUGAAGUGAAAGCAGGAAGAAAGUUUACAGAGUUAUGGACCUUGGUAUAUUCUUAACAAUGUGGAUAUUUUUUCAUUAAAAAGGGGAUCCUAAAUCAUUUUCUGCAUGUGUGUGUAAUCUACAUAGGGCAAAUCUGACAGGACACUAGGAUACCACACAGAAUAAAAUUUAUGUGGUUUAUUUAUUAAAUUAUAUUAUAUAUUUUAAUUGUAUAUUGACAAAUUAUAUUGUAUAUAUUUAUAGGGUACAAAGUGACAUUAUAAUUUUUAAUAUAAUGUGGCAUAAUUAAAUCACAUGAAAUAAUAUAUCCAUCAUCUCAAAUAGCUCACAUUUUUGGUGAUAAGGAGAUUUGAAAUUUACUGUUUUAGUGAUACUGAAAUAUACAGUACUCAGCCAAGUGCAGUGGCUCAUGCCUGUAAUCCUAGCACAUUGGGAGGCCAAGGCGGGCACAUUACCUGAGG